CCUACGGGUGGCAGCAGUGGGGAAUAUUGGACAAUGGGCGAAAGCCUGAUCCAGCCAUGCCGCGUGUGUGAAGAAGGCCUUCGGGUUGUAAAGCACUUUCAGUGGGGAAGAAAGCCUUGGGGCUAAUACCCUCGAGGAAGGACAUCACCCACAGAAGAAGCACCGGCUAACUCCGUGCCAGCAGCCGCGGUAAUACGGAGGGUGCGAGCGUUAAUCGGCAUUACUGGGCGUAAAGCGCGCGUAGGCGGUCUGAUAAGCCGGUUGUGAAAGCCCCGGGCUCAACCUGGGAACGGCAUCCGGAACUGUCAGGCUAGAGUGCAGGAGAGGAAGGUAGAAUUCCCGGUGUAGCGGUGAAAUGCGUAGAGAUCGGGAGGAAUACCAGUGGCGAAGGCGGCCUUCUGGACUGACACUGACGCUGAGGUGCGAAAGCGUGGGUAGCAAACAGGAUUAGAUACCCGAGUAGUC
rnacentral:rRNA from 1 species